CUCACAGACAGUGCAACCAUGAACUCAGUGUGCAGCGUUAUCCUGUUUGGAUUUUUAGUAACAGGCUUAAAAGCAGCACCAUGGAGUGCAUGGAGUGGUUAGGAACGUUGCAGCGUGACCUGUGGGACAGGUGUAAGAUACUCCCGUAGAACCUGCUUGACUUAUAGAUCCGGCACAUGUGAGGGGUCGUCUUUCAGGACCACACAAUGUCGAUGCACACGCGAAUGUCCACCAGUCAACGGAGGGUGGUCAAGCUGGCAAAAUUCAUCUGCGUGCAGUGUCACGUCUGGCGGAGGAGUUAGAACAAGGACUCGAACUUGUA